GGGUCUCCGGCCGGCCUAUUCCGCUCGAGCAAAGCCCUGGCGGGUCGCUAGAGGGAGACCGGGCGCCACCGAAACCGUCGCCGAGGCAGAGGCGGGCACUUUGGAAGGCGAAGCUGCACUUCGCUUACACCCUGUGCUGCGACGGCGGCUUUUUUCCGCUUGGCUCCGAUGACCUGCGGGAAGCGAAGGACUCCGCCGAGGCUCACCAGCCGCAGUUCCCGGGCCAGAAGCGGCCGGGUUGGGUAGCCUUCCUCCGGUUUGGAAGCCUCCCACCCUCCCCUCCUCUCUGGCGGGGGAAAAAAAAGCCUUGUGGAUGAGCAGAAGCGGAACGGGGGAGCCGAGAAAGGCCGGCCAAGAGGGCAGCCAGCGCUGGACAGGAUGGCUUUGGAAGAGACAGACUUCCUCCUCCUGUCCUUUUCAUCGAAAGAACAGGACUCCUUGAAUUGAUUUCUCCUUUUGUUUGGUGUGGUUGCCAUGGGGCUGAAUGAGCUGCUGUUAUACGUGUGACAUCUUCAUUCUCCUGAGUAGAAAAGCUGAACUGAUUAACCUCGGUUUUUAUGCAAGCACGAAUACCUGCUGUUCUAGCAAGUUCAGUGAAUCACAUGGUUGUUAAGCAAAUCCAGCGUCCUCAAUUCUCUGAAUUUUGUCUGAAGCCAGCUGAGGAAACCAGCAAAUGGCGAUCACAUCACCACAAGACACUGUAACCGUCAUAAAUGUGAGCCGGUUGGCAAACAUCCAAAUUGUAAUCGCAUGACUGUAGAGGUAGUGCAAAAGAUAAAGCUUUGAGGAGAGCUUGUAAGUUAUUUUUCGGAGGCAAUGGUAACUUCAAACCAUUGGUAAAUGAAUGAUCGUAGAUCAAAGAAUACCUGUAUAAUCUUUCUAUGUAUAUUUGCUGUUAACCAAAUGUGGAAUUUCACAGGCUCCCUGCACAGGUUUCCGAUGUAUUUUUGUAACCAUAAAAAGAGAGGAUAGCAUCUCCUUCAAACUGAAUUUAAGCCUCAUGAAUAAAGGCAUGUAUCCUAGAAUAAUGUUGCAGGAUUGAAUUGGAUCUUCGGACUCGUGCGGGAUCCCAUCUUCAGUUUUACACAUUCCAGAAUACAUGUAACAAAUUCUGCUAGAGAGAACUUCUCUGAGGAUAGCUCAGAAGACUAUAACUUUAGUCCCAGUGACCAACCCAGAUUGAAUCCUGAAUUUAAGUUUCACUGACUACAUAAAUGCCUCCAUAGAGUUUUUUGGGCAAUAGUCUGGAAUUAAUUUGCAAAUGGAAUGCUUUACCCAUUCUCAGUUUAGCCUAUGACCGUGGGAUUUUCUGGAGAUCUUCUACUAAAGUAGUAACCUUAUUCAAAACUCCUUAACUUUCGUAUGCUUUUGCACUUAGAUGCUAUUUCUUCCAGAGACUGAGCAGCGGAGUAUAUGACAUAUUCAUUUCUCAAUCUAUUUCUGCAAGGUUAUUGGUCUUGGUGAACCUCCACUAACAACUGCAACUUGCUCGACUUCACCUUUUUCAAAUUAUUACAUAGAGCAGUGAGAGCUAACCUUUUCCAGACCAAGUUCCCAAAUCGUGCGUGCGUGCGUGUGCAUCCAAACCCCAAAAAUGAAAUGCGCGCACGGCCCCCACACAUGCACUCCAUCCCAC